rnacentral:rRNA from 1 species
AUUGAACGCUGGCGGCAUGCCUUACACAUGCAAGUCGAACGGCAGCACGGGUGCUUGCACCUGGUGGCGAGUGGCGAACGGGUGAGUAAUAAAUCGGAACAUGUCCUGUGGUGGGGGAUAGCCCGGCGAAAGCCGGAUUAAUACCGCAUACGAUCUACGGAUGAAAGCGGGGGACCUUCCGGCCUCGCGCUACGGGGUUGGUCGCUGGCUGAGUAGCUAGUUGGUGGGGUAAAGGCCUACCAAGGCGACGAUCAGUAGCUGGUCUGAGAGGACGACCAGCCACACUGGGACUGUGACACGGCCCAGACUCCUACGGGAGGCAGCAGUGGGGAAUUUUGGACAAUGGGCGAAAGCCUGAUCCAGCAAUGCCGCGUGUGUGAAGAAGGCCUUCGGGUUGUAAAGCACUUUUGUCCGGAAAGAAAUCCUUGGCCCUAAUACGGUCGGGGGAUGACGGUACCGGAAGAAUAAGCACCGGCUAACUACGUG